CUUCCUACCUAUCAUUCACAAGAGUUUCUGAAAGGAGAUCCUCGCCCAGAAGUAAGAUGCUAGCUGGUUGCUGCCAGGCAAGCAGACUAGAUCCAACAUUUUAUUUAUUUCUGCAAAGAAUAGGCGCAUCUAUGAAAUACAAUACGUGACUUCCUUACAGUGAUAUAGAAGCGAAUUGAUCGGUCCAUGGAUGGAUGAAAUGGAUUGUGGGGUUCACGUCGUGAAAUCUUCCAAGUUCAUAAUGCGCCAACUAUGUGGGAAAAAGAAUCUACUUUAGAAGUUAUUCGGUUUAAUCUACAUAUUAAUUAAAAUUUUUAUAUGGACUUUUAAUAAUAUUUCUCAACAAAUGCUAUUUGAUGAGAUGGAUAUCAUAAAUAAAAUACUCCUCCAAACAGCCUAUAAAAGAUUGAUUAUAAAAUUUAAAAUUUGUGCUCAACAACUUGUACAACUAAAAUAAUAUCAAAUGAAUGUGAAAGAAUUUUAUAGCGCAUGCCUUACA